GACGAACGCUGGCGGCGUGCUUAACACAUGCAAGUCGAACGGAAAGGCCCUGCUUUUGUGGGGUGCUCGAGUGGCGAACGGGUGAGUAACACGUGAGUAACCUGCCCUUGACUUUGGGAUAACUUCAGGAAACUGGGGCUAAUACCGGAUAGGAGCUCCUGCUGCAUGGUGGGGGUUGGAAAGUUUCGGCGGUUGGGGAUGGACUCGCGGCUUAUCAGCUUGUUGGUGGGGUAGUGGCUUACCAAGGCUUUGACGGGUAGCCGGUCUGAGAGGGUGACCGGCCACAUUGGGACUGAGAUACGGCCCAGACUCCUACGGGAGGCAGAAGUGGGGAAUAUUGCACAAUGGGCGGAAGCCUGAUGCAGCAACGCCGCGUGCGGGAUGACGGCCUUCGGGUUGUAAACCGCUUUCGCCUGUGACGAAGCGUGAGUGACGGUAAUGGGUAAAGAAGCACCGGCUAACUUCGUG
rnacentral:rRNA from 1 species